CGAAGGGUGCAAGCGUUACUCGGAAUUACUGGGCGUAAAGCGUGCGUAGGUGGUUGUUUAAGUCUGCUGUGAAAGCCCUGGGCUCAACCUGGGAAUUGCAGUGGAUACUGGGCAACUAGAGUGUGGUAGAGGAUAGUGGAAUUUCCGGUGUAGCAGUGAAAUGCGUAGAGAUCGGAAGGAACAUCUGUGGCGAAGGCGACUAUCUGGGCCAACACUGACACUGAGGCACGAAAGCGUGGGAGCAAACAGGAUU
rnacentral:rRNA from 1 species